CCGGGGCCGCGGCCUGACCGCUCCGCCCCGCCGCCGCCUCCUCCUUCUUCUUCUCCUCCGCCGCCCGGCGCUCGUCUGCCCCGCACGGUCGGGCCCCGCAACGGCCGCGGGACUGUUUAAGCUUUUUUGGAAGGAGUGUGUCUUUCUGGUGCAACUUCAGCAUGGAGUGAGCAGCAUGGAGGGAGCAAUCCCACUUCUGCUGAGAUCCCAAACCCCCCGGGAAGUCUGUCCACCCCUCACUCCAGCUUCUGAAGUUCUCAGCUCUGUGGUGAAGAGGCUGGAGCAGCACUGAAGGCAAGAGCUGGAUCAAACCACACCAGAGGCACCUGCUCUCCACAGCAUCACUCUUCCCACCAGCCAUGGGGUUGGGUGAGCUCCAGCCCGUGGCCACCUUCACCAUGGGCAUCAGCAUCACCCAUAAUUUCAGCCAUCCCACUUUGUGAUUCAAGAACCCAGAAACCACGAGCUUGCACAUGCCACACAUUAUUUUUAUUUUCAUCUCCUG